GGGUGCCGGAAACGGCAGCCUUGGUGAAAAGGGAAACAGGUGAAAGUCCUGUGCGAACUCGUCACCGUAAGUAAGGAGUUUGUACCGGUACAUUGUUGGAUACAAUUCAGGAUGUGCAAAAUGCCACUGGGGGGACCGGGAAGGCGGUACAAAUGAUGAGAUACAAGUCGGGAGACCUGCCUUACGUUG
rnacentral:ncRNA from 1 species